CAGUCACCGCCUCAGUGGCUCGGUGCGUCCUUCCGGGCGGGGUACGGGAAGCCAGCUCUCCAGGCCGGGACUCAUGGUGUGACCUUAGGAGCCUCGUACUCACCCGGGCAUUGGAUGAUGAAGACCCCUGGCCCCAGCCCCUCUGAUGAGGCAGACAUUGAACCAGCUUUCUCCCAGCAGGAGGUCAGAUCCACAACGGACACAUUGUGCUGGGGACACAGGAGGCCAUGCCAGUGGACUUCCCGUUCAGCUCAGGCCUGACAUUGCCCAGGACCUUGGCAGCCCCAAUGGAUGCAGGAAUGAUGUUCUCAGCAGCCCCAUGAUCAUCAGGCCAGUUCCUGAGACACUACCCCAUCUUCUGAGAAGAGGCAUGAGAGCAUGCCUGCCAUCCUGCCCUGUGUGAUACUCUCCACCGCUCUAUGAUGCAAGAAGGCCGUCACCAGUGCCAGCACCAUGCUCUGAUGUCCCAGCCUCCCAAACUGAGGAGUGAAGCUCUAGAAAAACUGACUCUAAGCUCAUAUGGAAAACUAAACAAGCAAAAGUAUCCAGGAAAAGCAAUGAGUGGGGGAAAAAAAAGAGGUAAUGAGUGGAGACUCAGAAGUGCUGGGGAUGGAACCCAUGGCCUCAUGCAUGCCAGACAAGUGCUCCACCGCCAAGCUACAUCCCCAGCCCUGUCAUUUAGGUCUUAAAGGACUCUAAUUGCAAUCAGAAGCCAUACUCAGUGGAGAAAGGGGCGAUACACAGAAAAGAGAAAUGGCUCUUAACCAUGAAAAGGUGCUUGAGUUCACGCAAAAGAAAAAUAUAAAUUAAAAUUUCACUAAGAGACCAUU